rnacentral:rRNA from 1 species
UACGUAGGUGGCAAGCGUUGUCCGGAUUUAUUGGGCGUAAAGCGAGCGCAGGCGGUUUCUUAAGUCUGAUGUGAAAGCCCCCGGCUCAACCGGGGAGGGUCAUUGGAAACCGGGAGACUUGAGUGCAGAAGAGGAGAGUGGAACUCCAUGUGUAGCGGUGAAAUGCGUAGAUAUAUGGAAGAACACCAGUGGCGAAAGCGGCUCUCUGGUCUGUAACUGACGCUGAGGGUCGAAAGCGUGGGUAGCAAACAGG